rnacentral:rRNA from 1 species
AUGGCCGACGACUCAUCGUCCCCGGCGUCUUACAUCCGGCUGGUGCAGCAUCUGAUCGAGAAGUGCAUCUGCUACGACAUGAACAAGGAGGAGUGCGUGGAGGCGCUGGAGAAGCACGCCAACAUCAUGCCCGCCGUCACAUCCACCGUGUGGAAGGAGCUGGAGAAAGAGAACAGGGAGUUCUUCGAGACGUACAAGAAGGACAGAGGCGGUGAGUCGCCGUCGCAGAAGGGCAGUCCUUCAGACCAGGCGUCGACCUCAAGGAGCUCAGACGACAACGACGACUAG